CAAGUGAUCGUUAUUUCUGGCUUGAAGCUCCGCCCAUUUUAUUGUCAGUAUGACUCGCCGCAAACACGGGUUUAACUUUUCAUAAUAUACAAGUUUGUCUAGUGGGCCACGUCUUUUAAUGACUUGCAACAUAUAAACUUCUCUGCUUCCCUGCUACCCGAAAUUACAGCUGUGGAUGAUCUGUACAGUAAAAAGAAAGCCUCUGUAGGACAGUAGUUAAGCCGUUUAAGGCGUGCAAUGUACUGGGUUCUCGUCCUAGUACCAGCGUCCACUCAGAGUGAGUUUUAACAUUUGAUUUUGAUAUAAUUUUAGGCCUGAAAAACAAGUUACAGUAAGAAUAAUUUUAAACAUCUAUAACUAUAGUUUUACGGUGCCAGUCAUGACUUGGUAAAAUACUCUCUUUGACUCUGUUUUGUGCAGAGAUACAAUUUCUUUUUGCUGUAAUUGUUCUGUCAUUCAAAUUUGUUUAAAUGCUGGAGUGUUGUUAAACAAAUAGUUGUUUCCUUUCUGACUGUGUUUGAUGGAUGUAGCUGUUUGUAACAGUGAUCGGGUCCUGUACAAUUGUGGCACAGAAUACUGACAUGGAUUUUGUGUUGUUUCAGGUGUGUAGCAGCAGGUACCAGUAUUGGGCCUGGGAUUCGACCCGCAGUCAGUCGACACGCGUGUGGGUUGUGUAGUCGAACGUUCUCCUUCCGACACACCAUGCUCAGACACGUGCGCACGGUGCACCAGCGCAUGACGCGAUUCGUGUGCAACAAAUGUGGCAGAGCCUUCAACAGAAAAGACCAUCUGAUGCAGCAUUUCAAAUACACCUCACACACACAGAACUAAAGACCAUCUGACUCAGCAUUUCAGAUACACCUCACACACACACACACACACACACACACAGAGAACUAAAGACCAUCUGACUCAGCAUUUCAAAUACACCUCACACAUGCAGAACUAAAGACCACCUGACUCAUCAUUUCAGAUACACUUCAUACACACAGAACUAAAGACCAUCUGAUUCAGCAUUUCAGAUACACCUCACCCACACAAAACUAAAGACCAUCUGACUCAGCAUUUCAAAUACACAUCACACACAAAACUAAAGACCAUCUGACUCAGCAUUGCAGAUACACCUCACACACACAGAACUAAAGACCAUCUGACUCAGCAUUUCAGUACACCUCACACACACAGAACUAAAGACCAUCUGACUCGGCAUUUCAAAUACACUUCACACACAAAACUAAAGACCAUCUGACUCAGCAUUUCAGAUACACCUCACACACACAGAACUAAAGACCAUCUGACUCAGCAUUUCAAAUACACUUCACACACAAAACUAAAGACCAUCUGACUCAGCAUUUCAGAUACACCUCACACACACAGAACUAAAGACCAUCUGACUCAGCAUUUCAGAUAUACCUCACACACACAGAACUAAAGACCAUCUGACUCAGCAUUUCAAAUACACUUCACACACACACACACACAGAACUAAAGACCAUCUGAUUCAGCAUUUCAAAUACACUUCACACACGCAGAACUAAAGACCAUCAGACACAACCAAGAUGUGAGACCUUUACCACACUCCCAGUACCCAGCCCUUAGAUCUGUGCUGGUGUUCCUACCUCAACAUCACUUUCUUAUCUAACUACAAUGUAUAAUAUUCAAUAAUAAUAAGACUAACUUUGUUGCUGCCAUCUGUGGGCAAUCCUUUUAAAAAUGAACCUUUUUUCCCCCAGAACAUUGUCAGAAUCAAAUGGUGGUGGUGUUAUCAUCAGCUAUUGCAUGUCAAUAUUUUUGUUUACAUCCAGUAGCCAAUGAUUUAAUGAAUCAAUAUUCUCUAGUGGUGUCAUUAAACAAAACAAACUAAACAAGACAAACACUUUAUGCUGCUGCUGUAAGAUGUGUUACCAGGUUCAUUGACCACGAGUGACGCUAACAUUCACAAACUAGAGUAUAUUUGUAAAGCAAGCUUCAAGCAUAGGCUGAUAUAGGAUUGUAUGAUGGAUGGUAGGGGGUGGGGUUGCCUGGACAUAUGCUGAUAAAAUAUUUGUACUAAAACAAAGGACAUAAAAUAUUUGUGCUAAAACAAAGGACAUAAAAUAUUUGUACUGAAACAAAGACAAGAUCUACUAGUAUAAGUUUACACCCUUGAAUCCAUCCUUGAUCUAUCUAAAGUGUCAUCCCUAAACAUUUCUUUAUGUAACAGUUAAUCUCUGUAAACAAUAUCAGUGUGAUUAUAAAUUACACAAUAUAUGAACUUACAUUGGUUGCUAUGUGUGACUGUUGCAGGAUAACAGAAAUUUACAACCAUCAUUUUGCAUCUACACAUUGAUCAAAAAUACAGGACCUGAUGUAACGUGAUUUCAGUUACUUGGUUACAAAUAUGUGUGUACCCCAGGUUUCAGUCACAUGGUUACAAAUAUGUGUGUAUCCCAGAUUUCAGUCACUUGGUUACAAAUAUGUGUGUCCCAGAUUUCAGUCACUUGGUUACAAAUAUGUGUGUAUCCCAGAUUCAGAUUUGUAUGUAUAUAGAUUUUAAAAUGUGUAUAUGGUGUGUUGUUAAGUGAAAUUAAAUAAACUAAUUUCAAUUAA